GACGAACGCUGGCGGCGUGCUUAACACAUGCAAGUCGAACGAAGAGCGAUGGAAGCUUGCUUCUAUCAAUCUUAGUGGCGAACGGGUGAGUAACGCGUAAUCAACCUGCCCUUCAGAGGGGGUCAACAGUUGGAAACGACUGCUAAUACCGCAUACGAUCUAAUCUCGGCAUCGAGGAUAGAUGAAAGGUGGCCUCUACAUGUAAGCUAUCACUGAAGGAGGGGAUUGCGUCUGAUUAGCUAGUUGGAGGGGUAACGGCCCACCAAGGCGAUGAUCAGUAGCCGGUCUGAGAGGAUGAACGGCCACAUUGGGACUGAGACACGGCCCAGACUCCUACGGGAGGCAGCAGUGGGGAAUCUUCCGCAAUGGACGAAAGUCUGACGGAGCAACGCCGCGUGAGUGAUGACGGCCUUCGGGUUGUAAAGCUCUGUUAAUCGGGACGAAAGGCCUUCUUGCGAAUAGUGAGAAGGAUUGACGGUACCGGAAUAGAAAGCCACGGCUAACUACGUG
rnacentral:rRNA from 1 species